UAGAUGGAGUUCUACUUAAUUAAUUAAUUAGCGUCUGAUGGAUGAAGACUACACCCGGGUGAGCCUGAAACAGGCAUUCAAUAGAAGAAAAAGAAUCCAGAAUCUAGAAGCCAGUGAUAACUUAUGCCGAGAAAUUCUCGUCAUGCAGCAGGAUUAGCUUGCUUGCUCUUUCAAUGUCGACGACACUGCAGGACUGAGAAAUCAACGUGAGAACACCAAGCUUUCUUUACCAGACCCCGUCUGCCAGGCCUGUCCUCUGCGUCAAAAGUCCCUGCGACGAACACGAAGCAUUAGAUUCUUGGAGAAAAAUUUCUGCUGCUAAACCUCUAGAAAUACAAACAAAGAAAGAUCGGCGAGUGAAAUUAAAAUACCUCUAUCACGUGGAAGUCAAGUCUAAGUCCAAGUCAAAAGUUUCCUGGCAAUGGACUGGUAGCUGGCCAGCAACGCACGUUGCAACAGAAAGAAAAAGAGUCUCCCUUCAC
rnacentral:lncRNA from 1 species